rnacentral:rRNA from 1 species
AUGCAAGUCGAGCGGUAACAGAAAGUAGCUUGCUACUUUGCUGACGAGCGGCGGACGGGUGAGUAAUGCCUAGGAAUCUGCCUAGUAGUGGGGGAUAACUUGCCGAAAGGUAAGCUAAUACCGCAUACGUCCUACGGGAGAAAGCAGGGGACCUUCGGGCCUUGCGCUAUUAGAUGAGCCUAGGUCGGAUUAGUUAGUUGGUGAGGUAAUGGCUCACCAAGACCGCGAUCCGUAACUGGUCUGAGAGGAUGAUCAGUCACACUGGAACUGAGACACGGUCCAGACUCCUACGGGAGGCAGCAGUGGGGAAUAUUGGACAAUGGGGGCAACCCUGAUCCAGCCAUGCCGCGUGUGUGAAGAAGGUCUUCGGAUUGUAAAGCACUUUAAGUUGGGAGGAAGAGCAGUUAACUAAUAUUUGACUGUUUUGACGUUACCGACAGAAUAAGCACCGGCUAACUUCGUGCCAGCAGCCGCGGUAAUACGAAGGGUGCAAGCGUUAAUCGGAAUUACUGGGCGUAAAGCGCGCGUAGGUGGUUCGUUAAGUUAGGAGUGAAAGCCCCGGGCUCAACCUGGGAAUUGCUUCUAAAACUGGCGAGCUAGAGUAUGGUAGAGGGUGGUGGAAUUUCCUGUGUAGCGGUGAAAUGCGUAGAUAUAGGAAGGAACAUCAGUGGCGAAGGCGACCACCUGGACUGAUACUGACACUGAGGUGCGAAAGCGUGG